AACGAACGCUGGCGGCAUGCCUAACACAUGCAAGUCGAACGAGACCUUCGGGUCUAGUGGCGCACGGGUGCGUAACGCGUGGGAACCUGCCCUUAGGUUCGGAAUAACUCCCCGAAAGGGGUGCUAAUUCCGGAUAAUGUCUUCGGACCAAAGAUUUAUCGCCUUUGGAUGGGCCCGCGUUGGAUUAGCUAGUUGGUAGGGUAAAAGCCUACCAAGGCGACGAUCCAUAGCUGGUCUGAGAGGAUGAUCAGCCACACUGGGACUGAGACACGGCCCAGACUCCUACGGGAGGCAGCAGUGGGGAAUAUUGGACAAUGGGCGAAAGCCUGAUCCAGCAAUGCCGCGGGAGUGAUGAAGGCCUUAGGGUGGUAAAGCUCUUUUACCCGGGAUGAUAAUGACAGGACCGGGAGAAUAAGCUCCGGCUAACUCCGU
rnacentral:rRNA from 1 species